rnacentral:rRNA from 1 species
AGCAGCCGCGGUAAUUCCAGCUCCAAUAGCGUAUAUUAAAGUUGUUGCAGUUAAAAAGCUCGUAGUUGAAUUUCGAGACCGGUUUACUGGUCGUGCUUUUGUACGUACUGGUAUUAUUGGUUUCUCCUUUCUGAUGAACUAUAAUGCCAUUAAUUUGGUGUUUUAGGGAAUCAGGACUGUUACUUUGAAAAAAUUAGAGUGUUUAAAGCAGGCUCACGCUUGAAUACAUUAGCAUGGAAUAACGGAAUAGGACGUUUGAUUCUAUUUUGUUGGUUUCUAGGAUCGACGUAAUGAUUAAUAGGGAUAGUUGGGGGCAUUAGUAUUCAAUUGUCAGAGGUGAAAUUCUUGGAUUUAUUGAAGACUAACUACUGCGAAAGCAUUUGCCAAGGAUGUUUUCAUUAAUCAAGAACGAAAGUUAGGGGAUCGAAGACGAUCAGAUACCGUCGUAGUCUUAACCAUAAACUAUGCCGACUAGGGAUCGGAUGAUGUUAAUUUUUUAAUGACUCA